UACGUAGGUGGCAAGCGUUGUCCGGAUUUAUUGGGUUUAAAGGGUGCGUAGGCGGCUUAAUAAGUCAGUGGUGAAAGCCGAUCGCUUAACGAUCGAACUGCCAUUGAUACUGCUAGGCUUGAGUAUAGUUGAGGUAGGCGGAAUUGACAGUGUAGCGGUGAAAUGCAUAGAUAUUGUCAAGAACACCAAUUGCGAAGGCAGCUUACUAAAGUAUAACUGACGCUGAGGCACGAAAGUGCGGGGAUCAAACAGG
rnacentral:rRNA from 3 species